GCCCCCGUAGUUCAAUGGAUAGAAUAGGAACCUUCUAAGUUCUAGAUGCAGGUUCGAUUCCUGCCGGGGGUA
rnacentral:tRNA from 4 species